rnacentral:rRNA from 1 species
CAGUCGCCGCGGUAAUACGAAGGGGGCUAGCGUUGUUCGGAAUUACUGGGCGUAAAGCGCACGUAGGCGGACAUUUAAGUCAGGGGUGAAAUCCCGGGGCUCAACCCCGGAACUGCCUUUGAUACUGGGUGUCUAGAGUAUGGAAGAGGUGAGUGGAAUUCCGAGUGUAGAGGUGAAAUUCGUAGAUAUUCGGAGGAACACCAGUGGCGAAGGCGGCUCACUGGUCCAUUACUGACGCUGAGGUGCGAAAGCGUGGGGAGCAAACAGGAUUAGAUACCCGGGUAGUCCCUGUCUCUUAUAC